rnacentral:rRNA from 1 species
UACGUAGGGACCAAGCGUUGUUCGGAUUUACUGGGCGUAAAGAGCGCGCAGGCGGUCGUUCAAGUCGCGUGUGAAAGCCCCCGGCUCAACUGGGGAGGGUCACGCGAUACUGAUCGACUCGAAGGCAGGAGAGGGUAGUGGAAUUCCCGGUGUAGUGGUGAAAUGCGUAGAUAUCGGGAGGAACACCAGUGGCGAAGGCGACUACCUGGCCUGUUCUUGACGCUGAGGCGCGAAAGCUAGGGUAGCAAACGGGG